rnacentral:rRNA from 1 species
UCCGUAGGUGAACCUGCGGAAGGAUCAUUACAGAGUUCAUGCCCUUACGGGUAGAUCUCCCACCCUUUGAGUACUAUACUUUUGUUGCUUUGGCAGGCCGCUUCGGCUACCGGCUUCGGCUGGUGAGUGCCUGCCAGAGGACCCCAAAUUCUGAAUUAUAGUGUCGUCUGAGAACUAUAUAAUAGUUAAAACUUUCAACAACGGAUCUCUUGGUUCUGGCAUCGAUGAAGAACGCAGCGAAAUGCGAUAAGUAAUGUGAAUUGCAGAAUUCAGUGAAUCAUCGAAUCUUUGAACGCAUAUUGCGCUCUCUGGUAUUCCGGAGAGCAUGCUUGUUUGAGUAUCAGUAAACACCUCAACUCCCCUUUCUUUUUUUGAAAUGGGAGCUGGACUUGAGUGAUCCCAACGCUUUUCUCACCGAAAAGUGGCGGGUUACUUGAAAUGCAGGUGCAGCUGGACUUUUCUCUGAGCUAAAAGCAUAUCUAUUUAGUCUGCCUAAAAAACAGAUUAUUACCUUUGCUGCAGCUAACAUAAAGGAGAUUAGUUCUUGUGCUGACUGAUGCAGGAUUCACAGAGACAGCUUCGGCUGGCCUUUGUAAACUCGAUCUCAAAUCAAGUAAGACUACCCGCUGAACUUAAGCAUAUCAAUAAGCGGAGGA